GCGCGCGCGGCCGCCGGCGCUUUGACCACCCCCCGUAGCCCCGGGCCGCCGCCGCGCCUUCCCCAAGCCCAGGCUUUGUGGGUCUUUGCGAAAACGCGCGUCCAGGGAGGCGGAGAGAGGCGGCAGAAUUGAGUUCUGUUAGACGCAGUCAUCGGAGGGUUAGCAGUGCACUGAGAGCUGAAGGAUGGAACUAUCUCCGCUUUUUAUGCCAGUCUCAUUAACAGCCGCCAAGACAGAUGUGGGGCCCUCAACAGCAGUCCUUCUUCUUCACAUCCAAAGAAUGUCAGAGAAAGUUAAGAGGCCGAAUUGAGGAGGCACAAAAGUUAGCAUCUUUAUUUUAUAGGCUGGAAUUCCAACUGCUGACACCUCAUUUUGUGUCCUGAGGACUUUCUCUUGGCCUGGAGCCCCCUUUUCCACCUGUGCAGCAGGCCAGAGUGCUGGGAAAUUGAUGCCCCCGGGAACAGACUCCCAACAAUGCAGCUUAGCUAGACUUUGAAGUCUACGUUUUCUGUCCGCACGUGCGUUGUCUUCUGGCUUCUAUAGCUGAUACUGAGAAGGCUGUUUUCAAUUGGACUGUUGUUGUUUUGCAGCUUGACUGAGCGCUCUUUGAGAACAUUAACCAUGACAUACAUCUGCUGGGGUGUCCUCGUGGCAAGGUCAGAAGCACGGCGCUGAAUCGUAGGCUCCAUCUGUGGCCGUCCAUCUUUGGUGUUAAUACUUUCUGGGACAGUUGUUUGCCACUCUGGGACCCCUUAUGUGACAGCUCCAUUUGAACCAGCAUGAAAUGUCCCUCCCCGGCUGCAUUCUAGAACCUGGAACCUCCCAAGUAAGACCUAAGCCUGCCUUCACCUGGUGGGGUUAUCUGCUUCCCUGCCUGGACUCCUGUCCAGACCAAGAACGGCACCUUCCUCAUAUGCCUUGGCUCCUGGCACCAAGUUCCUCCUGCCUGUGCUCUCAACAUAACACUAGUGUGGGGGAGCCCCAAGAGAAUUGGGUUCUCAACACCAAGCAUGGUUAUUUCUGGUGAAGUACAGACCACGCAAACCAUGUCUUUAUUUAUGCCACUGAGCCUGCAUUAGCUCCCUUACCAAACCCGGAAUCCGACUGGCUCCUCUUGAGCAACUUACCUCCCAACAGCCCCCGGUCACCUUCACGUGGAUAGUGGCCAAGGAAGGCUUUUCUCAUUCUGCCGUCAUAACGGUGGCUUCUUUGUUCAGUGUAGCUGUGGGAAAUUUAUUUUUGUCUCUGUUUUUUUGCCAGGAGACUGGAUCAUAAUCUGACAAUAAAGAGAAAUUCCAACCUGAAGGAUUUUGACCACAGAGGAAAGAACUUCCUGAAAGUUCUCUUUCAGGAAGAAUGAUGGGAUGUCCCUGGGGCCAAGAAUCAAAAGUGGUGUUCUUGGCCUCAACCCUGUCUGGCUGCCAUGCUCCUUGUCAGUAGCAUGGAAUUUACCUCAGCGCGAUCUUGUAAGGAUUAUAGGAGGGGGAAAGGCUUUCUAGAGGAGAGAAAGCCUCCUCUCCUUAUAAUCUUGAAUGGACAGCUGAAGGAGCUGAAGGAUACUGUACAGUUUUAGGAACUUUUCCCAUAAAACCACAUUGACUUUCAGAAAAUUAGCUCUCCUGUCUCUAGCUAGUGGGAACCUCAGUUCACAAACUCAUUGGGGUGUAAGAAAUGCUAUGUUUUUAAUUUCCCCUAAAUCCAAUUCUGAAUCUCUGUUAGUUUCCUAGGCCUGACGUAAUGAAGUACCUCAAGCUGAGUGGCUUAUACAAGAGGAAUGUCUCACA